UAAGGAGUAGGUAAAAAGGAAUACCACAAAACUUUGAAUUUUGUAUUAAGAGUUCAACCCUCUUCUCUUUAA
rnacentral:tRNA from 1 species